rnacentral:rRNA from 1 species
GACGAGGGGGUCCUAGCGUUGUUCGGAAUCAUUGGGCGUAAAGCGUGUGUAGGCGGCUUUGUAAGUCAGGUGUGAAAUCCCCGGGCUCAACCCGGGAAGUGCAUCUGAUACUGCUUAGCUUGAGUACUGGAGAGGAUAGUGGAAUUCCUGGUGUAGUGGUGAAAUACGUAGAUAUCAGGAGGAACACCGGUGGCGAAGGCGGCUAUCUGGCCAUGUACUGACGCUGAGACACGAAAGCGUGGGGAGCAAACAGG